GUGUCACAUGACUGCAGUUUGUUGAACCAAACUACCAUCUGAUACUGUUGUGUUGAAGGAAUGCUGCUCUUCGCAAAGUUCCUGAAUGGUGGUUAACUUUUGCAGAAUAGCGAUAUCGGAUGUUGCUGUAGCCUGCUUGGAUCCAAGAUUUAGGACAUAUGAAGUUAGCUGAUCGAUUGUGUUUCGAUCAAUUCAGAACUGCAGAUAGAUAGAAAGAAAGGGGAGCAUCAGGAUAGUUCGUGUGGUCGGCGAGCUGCGAUAAAUACUUCAAUUGGACCUCGGAAUGGAUUGUUGUCCGCAAAGUAUGCUCUUUUUUCUAUGCAAUAUUCACGCUAAUUCCGUUUAUUAAGCUACGCACGGCUACGUGUUUUUCGUUACGGUUAGUAAAUAUUUAAAUUUCAGAAUGAGCACUUCGAACUGUUUUUCCAAAUAGGCUUUUAUUGUGUUUUUUCUUGAUAGAAACUAAAUAGUUUAUGAAUUGCAUUCAAGCUUUGCAAUGGAUCUAAACGUAUUCAACAAUUGAAGACUGGACCCAGUAUAGGCUAGUAGCCUAAUCAGAGCAGGAGCGCGUCUUCAGGCGAGAUGAAGUGUCUGCUGAUAGCGAGUGAGAGCGCGGAGGUUCUCUUCUACUGGACCGACCCGGAGUUCAGGCAGAAUGUCCAGGACCAGUACGGAGCGUCCCAGGAGGAGGGCCAGAGGCCCCCAGCGUUUGAGGACAGCCUGAACACGCUGUUCGCUCCCAUCAUCAUCUCCUGCAGCACCAUGGUCGACCGGCUGGGUGACAGCUACGCCUGCUUCACCACCGAGAACCAACACAACUACGUCUUGCAUCAGUUCGAUGAGUGUCUUUACAUCGCCGUGAACGGAGACGGCCAGGAGUGUGAGGACGACCUGAGGAGGAAGAUCUACGUGAUGAAGAAGAUGAUCGAAGUCCUCUUCGGCAUGGUGAACCUCAGCAGUAACCUGCUCCGUAAAGAACUGCGUCCUCAAGACACGGAGCAGAGGACCGGGCUGUGGAAGCACCUCCAGGGUCUACUGGAGACCUACAGUCGGCUCCGGGAGAACGACCAGAGCUUCUUAGUGGAGGCGGUGGAGCGGCUGAUCCACCCCACGCUGUGCGAGCAGUGCAUCGAGUUCCUGGAGCGCCGCCUGCUGCCAGCGCUGAACAGCAGCUCAGAGCGGAACGGAGAGGAGGUCCUCCACUCCUUUAUCCUGGUGCACACCAAGCUGCUCGCCUUCUACUCCAGCCGGAACACCAGCACUCUGAGCCCGUCUGACCUGCUGGCUCUCAUCGUCAUGACGCAGAGCAUGUACCCCUCCAACACUGACCAGGAAGACCCUGGCCCAGAGGAUGUGGAAAGUGUGUCGGUUUCGGGUCUGGAAAUGUUUUACACACCACAGCCCUCGCCUACUAACAGAAGCUCCAGUGGUUCAGAAAGGACAGCAAGAGAGGACACUCCUAUGUUUGAGUUUGUGGAUCCAGACAUACAGAUAGCAGAGGACAGCCUCAUCACCCUUGAGGUCUCGCCCCCGGACCCCUUGGCCCCCACCAGAGUGUUCCUGGAGGUGUCCCUCAAGGACGGCUUGUAUCCCAUGAUGCCUCACUCCAUGUACUGCCGGCCGCUCUGGCCCGGGAUCACUCUGGUGCUGCUCACCAAGAUCCCCAACAGCAGCGUGGCCAUGUCGGUGUACUCCUACCUGGAGGCCUUCGCCAAGCUGGAGAAGCGUCUGAGCGAGGGCCAGGAGGGCCCAGCCGCUGCCAGGGGCCAGCCGACCGUCCACGACCUCCGCAGCAAGCUGGACAAGUUCAUCAAGGCCCUGGGGCCCUGCGACAUCCAGACGUCUCAGUUGCAGAAUGUGUGGUCGGAGUUCAAGAAGCGUGCCUUCACCAGAGGGGGCCCAGGCUUCACCAGAGAGCUCAUCCCUUGGUGUAAGAGCAUGAAGACCCAGCUGUGUGGGGUCUACAAGCAGUGCUUCCUGAACGGGACCACCAGGGGAGCCGACGCGCCCCAGCGCCUCUCCCCCGCCCUACAGGAACUCGCUCAGGCCAUGGUUCAGGAGAAACUAAUGGACUGGAAGGACUUCCUGUUGGUUAAGAGCAAGAGAAACAUCACCAUGGUGUCGUACCUGGAGGACUUCCCCGGCCUCGUCCACUUCAUCUGCGUGGAUCGAUCCAGCGGGCAGAUGAUCGCCCCGUCCCUCAACAUCACGGAGCGCAGUACCUCCGAGCUGGGGGGGGGCCCUCUGGCUCAGUUCAUCAGAGGAAAGGUGUGGGGUCUGGUCCGAACAGCGAGGCAGUACCUCCAGAAGGGCUACUCCACCGUCACGCUGCGCGACGGAGACUUCUACUUCUGUUACUUCCUCUGGUUUGAAAAUGAAACCGGCUACAAGUUAGACGAGGUGGACCUGCCUGUACUCCCCGACGACUCACCCCCCAUCGGAGUGCUGGCCCGGGACUAUUACAGGAAGCUGCUGCGCUGCUACAGUAAGACCCACUGUGUGGUCACAGGAAGCUGCUGCUACAGUAAGACCCACUGUGUGGUCACAGGAAGCUGCUGCUACAGUAAGACCCACUGUGUGGUCACAGGAAGCUGCUGCUACAGUAAGACCCACUGUGUGGUCACAGGAAGCUGCUGCUACAGUAAGACCCACUGUGUGGUCACAGGAAGCUGCUGCUACAGUAAGACCCACUGUGUGGUCACAGGAAGCUGCUGCUACAGUAAGACCCACUGUGUGGUCACAGGAAGCUGCUGCUACAGUAAGACCCACUGUGUGGUCACAGGAAGCUGCUGCUACAGUAAGACCCACUGUGUGGUCACAGGAAGCUGCUGCUACAGUAAGACCCACUGUGUGGUCACAGGAAGCUGCUGCUACAGUAGGACCCACUGUGUGGUCACAGGAAGCUGCUGCUACAGUAAGACCCACUGUGUGGUCACAGGAAGCUGCUGCUACAGUAAGACCCACUGUGUGGUCACAGGAAGCUGCUGCUACAGUAAGACCCACUGUGUGGUCACAGGAAGCUGCUGCUACAGUAAGACCCACUGUGUGUUCACAGGAAGCUGCUGCUACAGUAAGACCCACUGUGUGGUCACAGGAAGCUGCUGCUACAGUUAGAGCCACUGUGUGUUCACAGGAAGCUACUGCUCUGCUACAGUAAGACCCACUGUGUGGUCACAGGAAGCUGCUGCUACAGAAGCUGCUCCGCUACUACAGUAAGACCCACGCGGGGGAGGUGGUGAAGUGCUACGAGCUGCUGACCGUCCAUCUGGGGGUCAUCCCCACCGAGUACA